rnacentral:rRNA from 1 species
GAUGAACGCUGGCGGUAUGCUUAACACAUGCAAGUCGAACGGACUCUUCGGAGUUAGUGGCGGACGGGUGAGUAACGCGUGAGAAUCUGGCUUUGGGUUCGGGACAACCACUGGAAACGGUGGCUAAUACCGGAUGUGCCGAGAGGUAAAAGAGAAAUUGCCUGAAGAUGAGCUCGCGUCUGAUUAGCUAGUUGGUGAGGUAAAGGCUCACCAAGGCAGCGAUCAGUAGCUGGUCUGAGAGGAUGACCAGCCACACUGGGACUGAGACACGGCCCAGACUCCUACGGGAGGCAGCAGUGGGGAAUUUUCCGCAAUGCGCGAAAGCCUGACGGAGCAAUACCGCGUGAGGGAAGAAGGCUCUUGGGUUGUAAACCUCUUUUCUUAGGGAAGAACAAAAUGACGGUACCUAAGGAAUCAGCAUCGGCUAACUCCGUG